UUGAAAUGCGGAUACUGUCCCGGUUUAAAUGGGUUAAGUGAUUGAUGCUGAUGACAGCAAGGCCAGUGAGCCGUUCCUGAGACAUGGUUGACCUUAGGUACGACUUUAUCAACUUCAGUUUUGAGAGGCUCCUCUCUGCUUGAGCCACCAUGACUGGCAGAGUGAGAGCAAUCCUGAGAGCAGAGCUGUUCCCCGCAACCCUCUCCCCACUUCGUCUCAUACAGUCUGUCAGCCUCUGUGCGGCACCUUCGCAGCAAGCAGGGGCGCCCACAGCAGCAGGGGGCACCAAUUUGACAAGAGUUCAUACAAAACCGCUUUGCGCCACAGAUUUAUUAUUAUUAUUAUCUUUUUUUUUUUUUUUGAAGUGCUUGUGCCGCCCCCCAUGAGUCAUGACACAAAUGCCACCCCGGGCGGCUGCCCAGUUCGCCCAUGCCUAGAACUACUGAUGUUGCACUUCGUUAUUAUCCGAAGAGAAGACAGGACAACAUUUUAUUGGCAACAACUACCUGCAUAUAACUUUUAAAACAGCAGUAAGAGCUACUUAAAACAAGAUAUUGCUCAUCUUUUAUUGCAGUGACAGGUGGGAGGCUAACAAGGUUAGAACACAUUGUUGGGGUGGCCUUUCUGCACCUUUUUACAGAAGAGUGGCAUCUAAAGCUCAGGAGCAAAGCGAUGUAGAUGCCGAUGCCGAUGCCGAUGCCAAUUGCGAUGUCAGAGGGCCUCUAUUCUCUAGGAUCUUAUGACUACUCACACUGUUAUAGGGCAUAUCUGAAGAGAACCGAGAAAGAAGGGUGAUAUGGCGGGGGGGACAGGGACAGCAAUCAGAGGGCCCCCGGGCUUUGGGGGAUGGCAGUCAGAGGGUUCCUGGGCUAUGGGGGACGGCAGUCAGAGGGCCCCUGGGCUGGCCCUGCUGUAGUGCCUCUCAUGAUUUACCAAGGGUUUUGAAUGAAAGUCCUUUCAGUGAGCCCUAAGGCCCAGGAUAUGCUAGCUGUGUGACUUCAUUUACGUGCGCAACCGCACAUACUUGCAGCAGAACGAUCAGAGCACUAUGCACGAUACUGGUAGUGUUGCCAAAAACAAAUCACCAAAAGUCGCUAUUGGUUCUCUGAAAAGUCGCUAGAUUACGUCACGACGUUACUAUUUGACAAGAGUUCAUACAAAACCGCUUUGCACCACAGAUUUAUUAUUAUUAUUAUCUUUUUUUUUUUUUUUUUGGAAGUGCUCAUGCCGCCCCCCAUGAGUCAUGACACAAAUGCCACCCCGGGCAGCUGUCCAGUUCGCCCGUGCCUAGAACUGCUACUGCUACUCACUAGAUGUCACAAUUUGUCAAUGAGACUUGUCCAUGAUGUUGCACAGUGGCGGUUCUAGACUUAAUUGCUCCCUGGGCGAGACCCCCUCCAAGUGCCCCCUAUUGCUCCCCUAUUACCCCAUCAAGACCUGAACCCUGUCUGAGACACGCCUCUGAAAUCCUGAGGGCUGUUUUGAGAAGGGUCCCCAGAUCCUGAGGUUUUCUGAAGUGUUAAGGUUUACAAAAAAGCUGAGAUCUCAGCCUCUGUAGAAGAUAGAAACAAAAUUCACAAAGUAUUUGAGAGCUUACACGUGUGGCUUUCAAGAUAACUAUCUUUUAUUUUUCUGAACCUUCAUCACAUUUUUGAUAACCUUGAACAAACAAACUCAAAUGAAAUAAAGCGGCUGUAUGAAUAAAAGUAAAGACUCUGCACUGGAGAAUAAUAAACUAUUUACUUUCUGUAAAAAAAGUGGCAGUUAUGAUAAAGUGUCCAUCAAUACAAAUGUAAAUAUAAAAAAUAAAGUGUUGAAAGGGUAUGCAGCUGCCCUAGUAUAGUGCCAGUACAAAAGCAGAAACUAAAAACUAAAAAAAUGAAUAAAUAAAUACGUGACUGGGUGAGCACAGACAUGAACGCACUGUCAAAGUCAUGCAACACUCACAGAAAUCGCCGAGAGUGUGAAGCAAAGCACUCCAUAUGAAGAGGUUGUUCACACUGCUGGAUGUUUCUCCUCCAAAGCUGCUCUCUGCCUCCGCCAGUGUUUACUUUACUCAUGAAGCACGUAGCAAGAUCCGAGCAUGAAUCUGAGCGCUUUAUUCACCUAUCAGAGGCAGACGGGUAUGAUGAUUUGAUUCGCCAUGACUCCAGAAAUGACUGAAAAACUACAGAAUGUUACAAAAUGACGUAUCCACGCUCCUGGCUUGGAAGGUUGAAAUGCGGAUACUGUCCCGGUUUAAAUGGGUUAAGUGAUUGAUGCUGAUGACAGCAAGGCCAGUGAGCCGUUCCUGAGACAUGGUUGACCUUAGGUACGACUUUAUCAACUUCAGUUUUGAGAGGCUCCUCUCUGCUUGAGCCACCAUGACUGGCAGAGUGAGAGCAAUCCUGAGAGCAGAGCUGUUCCCCGCAACCCUCUCCCCACUUCGUCUCAUACAGUCUGUCAGCCUCUGUGCGGCACCUUCGCAGCAAGCAGGGGCGCCCACAGCAGCAGGGGGCACCAAUUUGACAAGAGUUCAUACAAAACCGCUUUGCGCCACAGAUUUAUUAUUAUUAUUAUCUUUUUUUUUUUUUUUUGAAGUGCUUGUGCCGCCCCCCAUGAGUCAUGACACAAAUGCCACCCCGGGCGGCUGCCCAGUUCGCCCAUGCCUAGAACUACUGAUGUUGCACUUCGUUAUUAUCCGAAGAGAAGACAGGACAACAUUUUAUUGGCAACAACUACCUGCAUAUAACUUUUAAAACAGCAGUAAGAGCUACUUAAAACAAGAUAUUGCUCAUCUUUUAUUGCAGUGACAGGUGGGAGGCUAACAAGGUUAGAACACAUUGUUGGGGUGGCCUUUCUGCACCUUUUUACAGAAGAGUGGCAUCUAAAGCUCAGGAGCAAAGCGAUGUAGAUGCCGAUGCCGAUGCCGAUGCCAAUUGCGAUGUCAGAGGGCCUCUAUUCUCUAGGAUCUUAUGACUACUCACACUGUUAUAGGGCAUAUCUGAAGAGAACCGAGAAAGAAGGGUGAUAUGGCGGGGGGGACAGGGACAGCAAUCAGAGGGCCCCCGGGCUUUGGGGGAUGGCAGUCAGAGGGUUCCUGGGCUAUGGGGGACGGCAGUCAGAGGGCCCCUGGGCUGGCCCUGCUGUAGUGCCUCUCAUGAUUUACCAAGGGUUUUGAAUGAAAGUCCUUUCAGUGAGCCCUAAGGCCCAGGAUAUGCUAGCUGUGUGACUUCAUUUACGUGCGCAACCGCACAUACUUGCAGCAGAACGAUCAGAGCACUAUGCACGAUACUGGUAGUGUUGCCAAAAACAAAUCACCAAAAGUCGCUAUUGGUUCUCUGAAAAGUCGCUAGAUUACGUCACGACGUUACUAUUUGACAAGAGUUCAUACAAAACCGCUUUGCACCACAGAUUUAUUAUUAUUAUUAUCUUUUUUUUUUUUUUUUUUUGGAAGUGCUCAUGCCGCCCCCCAUGAGUCAUGACACAAAUGCCACCCCGGGCAGCUGUCCAGUUCGCCCGUGCCUAGAACUGCUACUGCUACUCACUAGAUGUCACAAUUUGUCAAUGAGACUUGUCCAUGAUGUUGCACAGUGGCGGUUCUAGACUUAAUUGCUCCCUGGGCGAGACCCCCUCCAAGUGCCCCCUAUUGCUCCCCUAUUACCCCAUCAAGACCUGAACCCUGUCUGAGACACGCCUCUGAAAUCCUGAGGGCUGUUUUGAGAAGGGUCCCCAGAUCCUGAGGUUUUCUGAAGUGUUAAGGUUUACAAAAAAGCUGAGAUCUCAGCCUCUGUAGAAGAUAGAAACAAAAUUCACAAAGUAUUUGAGAGCUUACACGUGUGGCUUUCAAGAUAACUAUCUUUUAUUUUUCUGAACCUUCAUCACAUUUUUGAUAACCUUGAACAAACAAACUCAAAUGAAAUAAAGCGGCUGUAUGAAUAAAAGUAAAGACUCUGCACUGGAGAAUAAUAAACUAUUUACUUUCUGUAAAAAAAGUGGCAGUUAUGAUAAAGUGUCCAUCAAUACAAAUGUAAAUAUAAAAAAUAAAGUGUUGAAAGGGUAUGCAGCUGCCCUAGUAUAGUGCCAGUACAAAAGCAGAAACUAAAAACUAAAAAAAUGAAUAAAUAAAUACGUGACUGGGUGAGCACAGACAUGAACGCACUGUCAAAGUCAUGCAACACUCACAGAAAUCGCCGAGAGUGUGAAGCAAAGCACUCCAUAUGAAGAGGUUGUUCACACUGCUGGAUGUUUCUCCUCCAAAGCUGCUCUCUGCCUCCGCCAGUGUUUACUUUACUCAUGAAGCACGUAGCAAGAUCCGAGCAUGAAUCUGAGCGCUUUAUUCACCUAUCAGAGGCAGACGGGUAUGAUGAUUUGAUUCGCCAUGACUCCAGAAAUGACUGAAAAACUACAGAAUGUUACAAAAUGACGUAUCCACGCUCCUGGCUUGGAAGGUUGAAAUGCGGAUACUGUCCCGGUUUAAAUGGGUUAAGUGAUUGAUGCUGAUGACAGCAAGGCCAGUGAGCCGUUCCUGAGACAUGGUUGACCUUAGGUACGACUUUAUCAACUUCAGUUUUGAGAGGCUCCUCUCUGCUUGAGCCACCAUGACUGGCAGAGUGAGAGCAAUCCUGAGAGCAGAGCUGUCCCCCGCAACCCUCUCCCCACUUCGUCUCAUACAGUCUGUCAGCCUCUGUGCGGCACCUUCGCAGCAAGCAGGGGCGCCCACAGCAGCAGGGGGCACCAAUUUGACAAGAGUUCAUACAAAACCGCUUUGCGCCACAGAUUUAUUAUUAUUAUUAUCUUUUUUUUUUUUUUUUUGAAGUGCUUGUGCCGCCCCCCAUGAGUCAUGACACAAAUGCCACCCCGGGCGGCUGCCCAGUUCGCCCAUGCCUAGAACUACUGAUGUUGCACUUCGUUAUUAUCCGAAGAGAAGACAGGACAACAUUUUAUUGGCAACAACUACCUGCAUAUAACUUUUAAAACAGCAGUAAGAGCUACUUAAAACAAGAUAUUGCUCAUCUUUUAUUGCAGUGACAGGUGGGAGGCUAACAAGGUUAGAACACAUUGUUAGGGUGGCCUUUCUGCACCUUUUUACAGAAGAGUAGCAUCUAAAGCUCAGGAGCAUCACUUGCAUGCUGAAUUUGAACUCCUGUUCUCUGUCAGUGAAUGGGGCCUUUAUGAUUUAAUAAAUGUGAGUAUGUGACCUUUUAAAAUGGUUUUUCAAUGUCAUUAAAUAAGCUUAUGGCCAAGUUGAGUUCUCUUUUAUGUUUUUAGAUUUUUCAUUAACUUUGUGAGAAAGAGUCGUGGUUUUGGCAGUCACAGAGACUGAAACCAGUUGACUCAGUUUAUUGUGAAAGGUGUGCUAACUUCAGCGAGCAUGAAGCCAGAAGCUGUUUAGGUGUGGUUUAUAAUUUGGAUCAGGAUGGCCAUUGCCACACUUAAGAAUUAUGCAAUCAAUUUGACAUCUAAAAUAAUCCCAGGACCGCUAAACCUCUUAUUACAUGACUAUGACACUUGAGAGACAGAUCAAUGUAUUUCAAAACAUAUUUUCAUAUCACAAACUGGAAAAUUUAACAAUGCAGUACUUAAUUGAACAUCAUAAAUAUGAAAACAGAAUCGGUAAAGCAACUCAAAGAAAGCACAUAGUGAAACUAAAAUAAAUGUUGUUUUAUUCUUUUACUAUCUUCUCACAGCCCACUUGCAGUACCUCCACUAGCCCACUAAGAGGCGCAGCCACAAGGAACCAAUGGUUUAAGAAGAUACUGUAUUUGUACCAGGGCCGGCGCCCAGGGUCCAGGGUCCAGGGGCCCGGGGGGGGGGGGGGGGGCAAAGCGAUGUAGAUGCCGAUGCCGAUGCCAAUUGCGAUGUCAGAGGGCCUCUAUUCUCUAGGAUCUUAUGACUACUCACACUGUUAUAGGGCAUAUCUGAAGAGAACUGAGAAAGAAGGGUGAUAUGGCGGGGGGGACAGGGACAGCAAUCAGAGGGCCCCUGGGCUUUGGGGGAUGGCAGUCAGAGGGUUCCUGGGCUAUGGGGGACGGCAGUCAGAGGGCCCCUGGGCUGGCCCUGCCGUAGUGCCUCUCAUGAAUACUCCUAAGGGAGCCCUGACGUUUACCAACUAGGGGUUCAAGGAAGUAGGGGGGAAUGCUUUCAGAGGGCCCUAUGAUUAUGGAAGCCCCUGCUAAGGGUCGUGACUUCUGGCUAUGUGGGGGCCCUAGGGAGAGCCCUAAUGGGAGAGCAUACUGUUAAGAGAGCCCUCUGAUUACAAAUGUUCUUAAAGGGCCUCUGAUUUACCAAGGGUUUUGAAUGAAAGUCCUUUCAGUGAGCCCUAAGGCCCAGGAUAUGCUAGCUGUGUGACUUCAUUUACGUGCGCAACCGCACAUACUUGCAGCAGAACGAUCAGAGCACUAUGCACGAUACUGGUAGUGUUGCCAAAAACAAAACACCAAAAGUCGCUAUUGGUUCUCUGAAAAGUCGCUAGAUUACGUCACGACGUUACUAUUUGACAAGAGUUCAUACAAAACCGCUUUGCACCACAGAUUUAUUAUUAUUAUUAUCUUUUUUUUUUUUUUUUUUUUGAAGUGCUCCUGCCGCCCCCCAUGAGUCAUGACACAAAUGCCACCCCGGGCAGCUGUCCAGUUCGCCAGUGCCUAGAACUGCUACUGAUGUUGCACUUCGUUAUUAUCCGAAGAGAAGACAGGACAACAUUUUAUUGGCAACAACUACCUGCAUAUAACUUUUAAAACAGCAGUAAGAGCUACUUAAAACAAGAUAUUGCUCAUCUUUUAUUGCAGUGACAGGUGGGAGGCUAACAAGGUUAGAACACAUUGUUGGGGUGGCCUUUCUGCACCUUUUUACAGAAGAGUGGCAUCUAAAGCUCAGGAGCAAAGCGAUGUAGAUGCCGAUGCCGAUGCCGAUGCCGAUGCCAAUUGCGAUGUCAGAGGGCCUCUAUUCUCUAGGAUCUUAUGACUACUCACACUGUUAUAGGGCAUAUCUGAAGAGAACCGAGAAAGAAGGGUGAUAUGGCGGGGGGGACAGGGACAGCAAUCAGAGGGCCCCCGGGCUUUGGGGGAUGGCAGUCAGAGGGUUCCUGGGCUAUGGGGGACGGCAGUCAGAGGGCCCCUGGGCUGGCCCUGCUGUAGUGCCUCUCAUGAUUUACCAAGGGUUUUGAAUGAAAGUCCUUUCAGUGAGCCCUAAGGCCCAGGAUAUGCUAGCUGUGUGACUUCAUUUACGUGCGCAACCGCACAUACUUGCAGCAGAACGAUCAGAGCACUAUGCACGAUACUGGUAGUGUUGCCAAAAACAAAUCACCAAAAGUCGCUAUUGGUUCUCUGAAAAGUCGCUAGAUUACGUCACGACGUUACUAUUUGACAAGAGUUCAUACAAAACCGCUUUGCACCACAGAUUUAUUAUUAUUAUUAUCUUUUUUUUUUUGUUUUUUUGGAAGUGCUCAUGCCGCCCCCCAUGAGUCAUGACACAAAUGCCACCCCGGGCAGCUGUCCAGUUCGCCCGUGCCUAGAACUGCUACUGCUACUCACUAGAUGUCACAAUUUGUCAAUGAGACUUGUCCAUGAUGUUGCACAGUGGCGGUUCUAGACUUAAUUGCUCCCUGGGCGAGACCCCCUUCAAGUGCCCCCUAUUGCUCCCCUAUUACCCCAUCAAGACCUGAACCCUGUCUGAGACACGCCUCUGAAAUCCUGAGGGCUGUUUUGAGAAGGGUCCCCAGAUCCUGAGGUUUUCUGAAGUGUUAAGGUUUACAAAAAAGCUGAGAUCUCAGCCUCUGUAGAAGAUAGAAACAAAAUUCACAAAUUAUUUGAGAGCUUACACGUGUGGCUUUCAAGAUAACUAUCUUUUAUUUUUCUGAACCUUCAUCACAUUUUUGAUAACCUUGAACAAACAAACUCAAAUGAAAUAAAGCGGCUGUAUGAAUAAAAGUAAAGACUCUGCACUGGAGAAUAAUAAACUAUUUACUUUCUGUAAAAAAAGUGGCAGUUAUGAUAAAGUGUCCAUCAAUACAAAUGUAAAUAUAAAAAAUAAAGUGUUGAAAGGGUAUGCAGCUGCCCUAGUAUAGUGCCAGUACAAAAGCAGAAACUAAAAACUAAAAAAAUGAAUAAAUAAAUACGUGACUGGGUGAGCACAGACAUGAACGCACUGUCAAAGUCAUGCAACACUCACAGAAAUCGCCGAGAGUGUGAAGCAAAGCACUCCAUAUGAAGAGGUUGUUCACACUGCUGGAUGUUUCUCCUCCAAAGCUGCUCUCUGCCUCCGCCAGUGUUUACUUUACUCAUGAAGCACGUAGCAAGAUCCGAGCAUGAAUCUGAGCGCUUUAUUCACCUAUCAGAGGCAGACGGGUAUGAUGAUUUGAUUCGCCAUGACUCCAGAAAUGACUGAAAAACUACAGAAUGUUACAAAAUGACGUAUCCACGCUCCUGGCUUGGAAGGUUGAAAUGCGGAUACUGUCCCGGUUUAAAUGGGUUAAGUGAUUGAUGCUGAUGACAGCAAGGCCAGUGAGCCGUUCCUGAGACAUGGUUGACCUUAGGUACGACUUUAUCAACUUCAGUUUUGAGAGGCUCCUCUCUGCUUGAGCCACCAUGACUGGCAGAGUGAGAGCAAUCCUGAGAGCAGAGCUGUUCCCCGCAACCCUCUCCCCACUUCGUCUCAUACAGUCUGUCAGCCUCUGUGCGGCACCUUCGCAGCAAGCAGGGGCGCCCACAGCAGCAGGGGGCACCAAUUUGACAAGAGUUCAUACAAAACCGCUUUGCGCCACAGAUUUAUUAUUAUUAUUAUCUUUUUUUUUUUUUUGAAGUGCUUGUGCCGCCCCCCAUGAGUCAUGACACAAAUGCCACCCCGGGCGGCUGCCCAGUUCGCCCAUGCCUAGAACUACUGAUGUUGCACUUCGUUAUUAUCCGAAGAGAAGACAGGACAACAUUUUAUUGGCAACAACUACCUGCAUAUAACUUUUAAAACAGCAGUAAGAGCUACUUAAAACAAGAUAUUGCUCAUCUUUUAUUGCAGUGACAGGUGGGAGGCUAACAAGGUUAGAACACAUUGUUGGGGUGGCCUUUCUGCACCUUUUUACAGAAGAGUGGCAUCUAAAGCUCAGGAGCAAAGCGAUGUAGAUGCCGAUGCCGAUGCCGAUGCCAAUUGCGAUGUCAGAGGGCCUCUAUUCUCUAGGAUCUUAUGACUACUCACACUGUUAUAGGGCAUAUCUGAAGAGAACCGAGAAAGAAGGGUGAUAUGGCGGGGGGGACAGGGACAGCAAUCAGAGGGCCCCCGGGCUUUGGGGGAUGGCAGUCAGAGGGUUCCUGGGCUAUGGGGGACGGCAGUCAGAGGGCCCCUGGGCUGGCCCUGCUGUAGUGCCUCUCAUGAUUUACCAAGGGUUUUGAAUGAAAGUCCUUUCAGUGAGCCCUAAGGCCCAGGAUAUGCUAGCUGUGUGACUUCAUUUACGUGCGCAACCGCACAUACUUGCAGCAGAACGAUCAGAGCACUAUGCACGAUACUGGUAGUGUUGCCAAAAACAAAUCACCAAAAGUCGCUAUUGGUUCUCUGAAAAGUCGCUAGAUUACGUCACGACGUUACUAUUUGACAAGAGUUCAUACAAAACCGCUUUGCACCACAGAUUUAUUAUUAUUAUUAUCUUUUUUUUUUUGUUUUUUUGGAAGUGCUCCUGCCGCCCCCCAUGAGUCAUGACACAAAUGCCACCCCGGGCAGCUGUCCAGUUCGCCCGUGCCUAGAACUGCUACUGCUACUCACUAGAUGUCACAAUUUGUCAAUGAGACUUGUCCAUGAUGUUGCACAGUGGCGGUUCUAGACUUAAUUGCUCCCUGGGCGAGACCCCCUCCAAGUGCCCCCUAUUGCUCCCCUAUUACCCCAUCAAGACCUGAACCCUGUCUGAGACACGCCUCUGAAAUCCUGAGGGCUGUUUUGAGAAGGGUCCCCAGAUCCUGAGGUUUUCUGAAGUGUUAAGGUUUACAAAAAAGCUGAGAUCUCAGCCUCUGUAGAAGAUAGAAACAAAAUUCACAAAGUAUUUGAGAGCUUACACGUGUGGCUUUCAAGAUAACUAUCUUUUAUUUUUCUGAACCUUCAUCACAUUUUUGAUAACCUUGAACAAACAAACUCAAAUGAAAUAAAGCGGCUGUAUGAAUAAAAGUAAAGACUCUGCACUGGAGAAUAAUAAACUAUUUACUUUCUGUAAAAAAAGUGGCAGUUAUGAUAAAGUGUCCAUCAAUACAAAUGUAAAUAUAAAAAAUAAAGUGUUGAAAGGGUAUGCAGCUGCCCUAGUAUAGUGCCAGUACAAAAGCAGAAACUAAAAACUAAAAAAAUGAAUAAAUAAAUACGUGACUGGGUGAGCACAGACAUGAACGCACUGUCAAAGUCAUGCAACACUCACAGAAAUCGCCGAGAGUGUGAAGCAAAGCACUCCAUAUGAAGAGGUUGUUCACACUGCUGGAUGUUUCUCCUCCAAAGCUGCUCUCUGCCUCCGCCAGUGUUUACUUUACUCAUGAAGCACGUAGCAAGAUCCGAGCAUGAAUCUGAGCGCUUUAUUCGCCUAUCAGAGGCAGACGGGUAUGAUGAUUUGAUUCGCCAUGACUCCAGAAAUGACUGAAAAACUACAGAAUGUUACAAAAUGACGUAUCCACGCUCCUGGCUUGGAAGGUUGAAAUGCGGACAUACUGUCCCGGUUUAAAUGGGUUAAGUGAUUGAUGCUGAUGACAGCAAGGCCAGUGAGCCGUUCCUGAGACAUGGUUGACCUUAGGUACGACUUUAUCAACUUCAGUUUUGAGAGGCUCCUCUCUGCUUGAGCCACCAUGACUGGCAGAGUGAGAGCAAUCCUGAGAGCAGAGCUGUCCCCCGCAACCCUCUCCCCACUUCGUCUCAUACAGUCUGUCAGCCUCUGUGCGGCACCUUAGCAGCAAGCAGGGGCGCCCACAGAAGCAGGGGGCGCCAAUUUGACAAGAGUUCAUACAAAACCGCUAACCGCUUUGCGCCACAGAUUUAUUAUUAUUAUUAUCUUUUUUUUUUUUUUUUUGGAAGUGCUCGUGCUGCCCUCCAUGAGUCAUGACACAAAUGCCACCCCGGGCGGCUGCCCAGUUCGCCCAUUCCUAGAACUGCUACUGAUGUUGCACUUAGUUAUUAUCCGAAGAGAAGACAGUACAACAUUUUAUUGGCAACAACUACCUGCAUAUAACUUUUAAAACAGCAGUAAGAGCUACUUAAAACAAGAUAUUGCUCAUCUUUUAUUGCAGUGACAGGUGGGAGGCUAACAAGGUUAGAACACAUUGUUGGGGUGGCCUUUCUGCACCUUUUUACAGAAGAGUGGCAUCUAAAGCUCAGGAGCAUCACUUGCAUGCUGAAUUUGUACUCCUGUUCUCUGGUAGAUGGUUCAGAUUACAAAAAUCUAAAUCCAACAGAAUGAAAAACUUUUUUGUUAGUCAGGCAAUUGUACAAUUUAAUCUUUAAAAUGAUCCAGUAUGAGGCAUUUGAUUUUCUUGGCUGAUGUCUGAUGGUAUUUUCUGAUGGAUCUUGCUCCCAGUUGGCCUCUGAUGUAUUGUUGGUGAUGUUGUUUCUAUGUUGUCUUUGUGAUCAGUUCAUGUAUUGGUGCUGUUAAUGUUUUGUGUUUUUUUACCUGGCUGCAAAGCAAAUUUCCCUAAGGGGACAAUAUGUAAGGAAGGACCUCUGUCUCUGCAAACACCUGCAGAG